CUGGAUCUGAGAUGGACUCCGCAUACUGCAUUUAUACGUUUACAGACAUCAACUUUAUUUUCCUGCCACCAAACCACAUUUAUUCUGAGAUGCAGUAAACACUGCUCCUUUUCAGAAAAUCUGUUUAAAGCAACUGAUUUGCAAGAUUAUUUUGUAGCUGAGAACAAUUAAGAACUCUAACAGCUUAACCAGCUGUGAUAAUUAGCACUCACUGAGACUGUCUUUGGGGAAAUACAGCACACUGUCUUAUUUUAGUUCUUCCACAGUAAGGACUGAGAAAAUAAUGCAAAUAACCACCGUUCCUCAGAGCAGCUCCUUGGGAUGGGGAGCCUGGGGAGGAGUCUGGGCUGGGCAUGAGCUGCCACAGAGGUGAUUUCUGCCCGCCCAGUUCCCAAGGUGUGUCAUUUUGGUAAACACAGGUGAUAAAUUUAACUCGUCAUCACGAUGUAAGCAAAACCUGUUGUCAGUUAGGACGGAAGUGCAUGCUGCUCCCUUUCUUACAGGCAGGGCUAUUUUAUUUAUAAGUCCUAGAAGCGGCCCCUGGGCUCCUGCCUAGGCUGGGGGGCAGUGGUGGUCCAGGGCAGGAUGCAGGAUGCAGGGGGAGCUGCUGGGGCACGGCCCCGAGCUGCCCCGGCCGGUCCUGUGCCCUGCCAGAGCUGCUGGCAGCAAAGCAAAGAACGCCCAGGACAUGGCUUUGCAGAUGGCUGAUCCAGCUGCCAGGUCUCCAGGGGAGGACCAGUGCAUGUCCCUGCAUGUGCAGGGCUGGUGCAAGUGGAGGACUUCCUUGCCUCUGCUUCCUGCUCUGCUCCUUGCCAGCUUACAGCCACAGCUGUGUGUGCUUGUGCCAGGCAGUGCCCUGGAUUAUGUCAGACACAGGGAGCAGGCAUGGGCUGCUCCCAGAUGGACAAGCUUCCUGGUAAAGAAGCUUUCAGGAAUGAGAGAAGGCCUACAAGUUUCGAUAAAAAGGUGCUAGUAUGGUCAGGAUGCUUUAAAAGGAGGACAUUCCCAGGCACAUAUUUGGGCCUCUGAAGGAAUGAACAUUCCUCUGGAAAAUCCCUGGAGAGAGCAGAUAUCUCCAACAUGUGUGGAGCUUCCAAUGAAUCCAUUCUGCUUCACCUCUGGGACACUCUGGGAUGUCAGUGCCAGAGCAAUGUACAGCUGGGGCAGCAGCCAAAGGAAACCCACAAACUGCACUUUUGUUCUCUGUCAGCAUCACAUGCAGCCUGAGUAAUAUUUGUUUUGUUUCCAUUUUAAGGGAUUGAAUGUGUUGGGUGUUUCCAGCAGGCGGGCAAACCACGUCUCUGCAGUAUCAUGGCUUUUGUUGGUGACAGUUUCCAUGGUGUUGGUGUUCCCUCAGUCUCAGAGUUAGCACAAUUUAAUUAUCUCCAAAAUGGUGUUUAAAUUGGCCAUCUCGUUAAAAAAUUAGACCCUGGUAAUUAUGGGCUUUUCUAAAUAAUCUAAUAAGGACACUUCUGCUUUGAUGAGGAGAGUUUAACUGUAAAAGAUUUAAAAUGUGCUUACAGGAACUGGGAUCCACAGGAAUGCCUGGAGAGUGAAGGUUCUCUCUGCUCUGUACAGCUAAAGCCCAACUUCUAGAUGGAAAAAGGAGCUACUGGUUUAAUUGCAUUAAAGUCAUCAGGUCCCUGAAACACAGCAGCAUUGGCUUGUGCAGAGACAGAAGGAUCAAGCCUGUGUUGGGAGAGUUCCCUGCUCAGGGUUUGUAGAAAAUUCUGCUCUGAGUCUUCUUGCCACACCAAAAUGCAAUGGUGGUAUCAUGAUACUGACUUACAAACCAUGAGAUACGUAGAAAGUAAUAUAACUAGUGGGGUUUUUUUGGUUUAGUUUUUGGUUUUUCCCUUUUAGGAUUUAAGUCUUCAAAAUGCACAUACUUAGGCUUUAUUCUGAGCCUUUUGGAGAAGCAAAGGAGAUGCUGAGAUUCUCCCUGUAAUCACCUGCCUCUGGGAUCUGCAGCUCCAAAAAUGGUACCAGGUAUCAGCAGAGCUUCUGAAAUCCCAGAG
ensembl:lncRNA